rnacentral:rRNA from 1 species
CGCAGCCGCGGUAAUUCCAGCUCCAAUAGCGUAUAUUAAAGUUGUUGCAGUUAAAAGCUCGUAGUUGAAUUUCGGGAUCAGUUCGCUGGUCGUGCCUUCGGUAUGUACUGGUGUUACUGGUUCCUACCUUCUGACGAACCGUCAUGUCAUUAAUUUGGCGUGGCGGGAAAUCAGGACUGUUACUUUGAAAAAAUUAGAGUGUUUAAAGCAGGCUCGCGCUUGAAUACAUUAGCAUGGAAUAAUGAAAUAGGACGUUUGAUCCUAUUUUGUUGGUUUCUAGGAUUGACGUAAUGAUUAAUAGGGAUAGUUGGGGGCAUUAGUAUUCAAUUGUCAGAGGUGAGAUUCUUGGAUUUAUUGAAGACUAACUACUGCGAAAGCAUUUGCCAAGGAUGUUUUCAUUAAUCAAGAACGAAAGUUAGGGGAUCGAAGACGAUCAGAUACCGUCGUAGUCUUAACCAUAAACUAUGCCGACUAGGGAUCGGAUGAUGUUAAUUUUAAUGACUCAUUCGGCGCCUUAAC